CUCGAUGUUUCCAGGCUCUUGGCACGGCUCGGUGGAAAGAUCCCCCUUUUCCUCCCACAGCGGCUCCGGAAUGUGUGCGGAAUUUGAAGAGCUGGGCCGAGAGCUUGGGGCGAGCCCACCGAAAGGCAGGGAAGAGCGUGCAGAGCGGCACGGAGCUCUGGCAUCCCCGCAGUGCAGCGAGCGCAUCUCGCCCUUGGCGGGAUCAGGAGGCGCAGGAACCGCGCAGGUUACGGGAUGAGUGUGCCAGGCGAUAUGGAGCGAGCAGCAGCGGCACACCAGCGCUUGUCUGCUGUGCUGUCUGCGCUCUUUAAUAGAAAUUGCCCUUUCUGGGGGUUUUAUUAAGAAGAUUUUUGUCUUCUUUCUAUUAUCUCUGUAAGCACCAGAGUGAAGCAUUCGUGUCUGCCGGCCAGUCUGGCAGUUUUAUGUUUCCAGAAUCUGCUGGGAAAAAGUCGGAACCCGCAGAAACACAAGAUUCCCCUGGCAUCACGUUGGUUUGUUCCUGUCAGCAUAUUUAAUCAUUUUUAUGCUAAAGAAUUGUGCAGUGAGCUGAUCUUAGCAAUGAUUUACUCUGCUUGAGGCUUUAUUGAUUUUUUUUCUUUAGCAAGGACAUAAGGAAAGGAGUGAAGGAAGGAUGACACGGUUUGUAAAGAAAAAAAUUCAGUGUACGUUUGAAGUGUAGUCGCUGUUAAAUAUAUAGACAUAUACACGAUGCUUUAUGCAGCUAUAAAAACAAAAGGUCUCUUUGCCUCAGGAUAUUUCUCUUACAGCAACAGGUAGCAAAGGCUCCUCUGUCCCCUUCUCUCCCCUUAUCUCCUCCCCUUCAGCUCCUCCUGACAAAAUGCCAGUUUAAAAGGUCAGAGUGUUUAUGUAAAUAUUGUGCUUUUCUUAACAAAGACUGCUACGCGUCAAGCCUGCAAUGACUGUCAAAUAGACUCAAGACAUUCAGUGAGGGUACUGUGGGUUUCCUAAGACUGAUAAAAUCUGGCAGAAAACAAAGGACAGAAGAGUGUGCCUGGGAUGGAUCCACAGCGCCGGGCGCCCGUGGGCAGCAGCUCCGCCACGGCAGCGCUUGGUACUGCAGUGUCCACCGCAGCUUCACACCGCAUGUGUGUGAGACAGGCACCACAAAAUGGAUCAAAAGAGAUUUGCUGGUAUGCUAAUGCCUUUCUGCUCUUCCCUUCAGGUUUCUUCCUCUCUCUAGUGGCGUCCUGGUCUGAACUUGCUUUGCGGCUCCUUCGCACCAAAGGCAGCUUAAAUCAGCCAAGGAGGAUUUUGAGUCUGACCAACCUCACCCUCCCAAUAAAAGAGAUUGACUUCA